GUGUGUGAUGAAGGCCCUAGGGUUGUAAAGCACUUUCAACGGUGAAGAUGAUGACGGUAGCCGUAGAAGAAGCCCCGGCUAACUUCGUGCCAGCAGCCGCGGUAAUACGAAGGGGGCGAGCGUUGUUCGGAAUAACUGGGCGUAAAGGGCGCGUAGGCGGUCUAUCCAGUUGGGCGUGAAAGCCCUGGGCUCAACCCAGGAAUUGCGUCCAAUACUAGUAGACUAGAGACCGAGAGAGGAUAGUGGAAUUUCCAGUGUAGAGGUGAAAUUCGUAGAUAUUGGAAAGAACACCAGUGGCGAAAGCGGCUAUCUGGCUCGGUUCUGACGCUGAGGCGCGAAAGCGUGGGGAGCAAACAGGAUUAGAUACCCUGGUAGUCCACGCCGUAAACGAUGACUGCUAGAUGUCGGGAGGUUACCUUUCGGUGUCGUCGCUAACGCAUUAAGCAGUCC
rnacentral:rRNA from 1 species